rnacentral:ribozyme from 1 species
AGAAUCGACAACAUGAAGAAAGAGUUGCUUUCUUCCCUUCCUCUUCUUUCUUCUUGUUCGCUGUUUUAUUCUUUUUCUUUCUCUUCAUCU